rnacentral:piRNA from 1 species
UGGAAUCCCACUCCAUUGAGGAAGACC